UUUUAUUGUAAUGAUUAUUGUAUUUAAUCGUUUGAAUCUAGGGUUUGAAUGUGCAGAAUAAAUUAAUUUUUAAUUCUCGUGUGUAUUGUUGAUGAACGCUUGAUUUUAAAGGUAAAUUUUAAAAAAGGCGAUACUCUCACUUGGUGCUGGUUGCUGGACAAUAGUGAUGCUUAGGAUUAGGAUACAUUUAUAAAAGUGGUACAGGAAUAGACAUAACUGAAGCUUUAUUUAAUUAAAACGUAAACAGCAUUUGUUAAUAAAUAUUUAGAUCUAAUUUAAUCUAGAUUGUGCGAAAAAUUGCUCGCUAACCAAUGGACAAUGUGGUAAUCGACUCUUAUCGACUAGUCGAUGCUUAUGAAGUAGUCAAUGCUUAUGGACUAGUCGAUGCUUAUGGACUAGUUUGUAUUCGGUUAAUUGUUAAUCAUUAUUAUUACAAACUUUUAAACUAAAUAAAUACGGAAUAUUUUUUAUAAUAUUUUGUAAUAUUAUAAAUUUAUGUUAAUUCAAUAAUUCUAUAAUAACCCCUUUCCGUUGCUCUUGGAAAAAACCAUUGACGGACUUUAAACUUUGGCAACUCUGCACUGAUCAUCAAGAAUUACAACAACAACAAGCACAAAAUGAUUCGAAUCAUGUUUCUUGUAAUUAAAUAAAAGCUGGAACAAAAUAGAGUUUACAUAAUACGAAAUAAUCUACUUUAAAAAUCUAGGUUAACCAGCUUGCCAGAGACGCCGGUGUUGAAUUACUCAUUUUUGGGUAUUUCCCAAAUGUUACUGUGGGAAGUUGUGCAACAUGAGCAUUUGGUGAAGAGACUAAAAAUAGUGAAACGAAACCAACAACCCAAUCUUUUCUUAAACAUUGGGAAAAGUAUUUUCAUUAAAAGAAGAUAUACGUCAAAAUCCAGCCAAGGCCAAUGUUGAUGUUGAAAAUGAAGAACCACAAACUGAAAAUGUUGAGUUAAACAAAGAAAAAGAAGUUGUCGGUGUUCAUGUAUCACACACAGGUUCAGAAGGUGAAAGUGUGGAGCCAACGAACAAAGAGUCAGAAGCUGGUGGUGUGGAGUCAUCGAACAAAGAGUCCUUUGAACCUGAGCAACAACAUUUUUCAUCACACUUGAUUCCAGGAACACAGCAAACGUCCAGUACUGUUACCGUUACACUCACACAAAGUGAACAUGGCACAUAUUUCCCACCACCACAUCUCAUUGAUCUACUAGAUGCCUGGGAAUUGGGUGUGUCACCUUCACUCACAAUUAAUACACUUACCCCACCAUCAUCAGGACAGCUGUUACUUGAAAUUGCAACAGGUAACACAAUUUAGUAUCCCCUAGAAAAAUUGGAU